UCCUUCCCUGGCUCGGGGCUUUCCUCCCACACCCCUCAAACUUUGCAGUCCUGCUAGGGCUCAUUAGGUUCCCCCUUUCUAUUUUUCAGCUCGAGGUUUUAACCCCCUGGCGCCUGAAGGCAAAUAUGAAAGCGUUCCACUGAGCAUGGGCAGAGUGCAACCCGCUGCGACGUGUUGAAACGGCUCUCAGGGUUCAACAUUUCACACUUCGGGGUUAUCCCGCCUAUUGUUGGAGUUGUUUACAUCAGGAUUGAUUCACCCCAGGAGAGCUGAUUUGGACACUGUGCCUGAGGCUCAGCAGCCCCAAUAUAUAAAGAUCUAUGUAAAUAAUCAACAAGGAUCCCUUCCUAAGGACACAGAAGAAGCCAGGGUGGUUUUUGUAUUUUUUAUUAUUGUUUUUUAAACAGUAAAAAAAUGUUUCAUUGGG